AUACGGAGAGGGCGAGCGUUGUUCGGAUUUACUGGGCGUAAAGGGCAUGUAGGUGUCCCGAUAAGCUCUGGGUGAAAUCUCCGCGCUCAACGCGGAAACGAAUCAGAGAACUAUCGGGAUUGAGUUCAGGAGAAGAGAGUGGAAUUCUCAGUGUAGCGGUGAAUGCGUAGAUAUUGAGAAGAACACCAGCGGCGAAGGCGGCUCUCUAUUCUGAAACUGACACUCAAAUGCGAAAGCGUGGGGAGCGAAUGGGAUUAGAUACCCCGGUAGUCC
rnacentral:rRNA from 1 species